rnacentral:lncRNA from 1 species
CGUUGUCAAAGGAGACUUUAAUAAUAUAUGCCAUUUAGCAGACUGGGUACAUGGUAGUGGAAACAGAUCAUCGAAACAGGAUUACAAUGUUGAUAUCAUGGAUGGUCAGUCCUUGCAUCUAUAGCUCUGUCUAUGAAUUUGAGAGUGGUUAUAUUUCUCCAGGCCCAUCCCUCAGCUUUUUUACCAGAAGAGGAGCAGGGAGGCACUUUGUUAUUGUUUCUGCUGCUGAUUGCCACUUUAAGAAGUUAAGAUGCAGAUUAAAUACACACCAAAAUAUGUUACAGAUACUAUAAAAAUGUCCCAUCACUCAGACAGGUAGUGAAUACACAGCAUCCAGCACAGCAAACAAACAAAUAUAUUUUACAAAAGCCCAUUUUACAUCAAAAUAAUAACCACAGAGUUUAUAGAGGGUGCAACAGUUCAUAGGUGAGCAUGCCUGUCCCAUUAAACCCCUACAACUCAUCCAGAACGCCGCAGCCCGUCUGGUGUUCAACCUUCCCAAGUUCUCUCACGUCACCCCGCUCCUCCGCACACUCCACUGGCUUCCAGUUGAAGCUCGCAUCUGCUACAAGACCAUGGUGCUUGCCUAUGGAGCUGUGAGGGGAACGGCACCUCCGUACCUUCAGGCUCUGAUCAGGCCUUACACCCAAACAAGGGCACUGCGUUCAUCCACCUCUGGCCUGCUGGCCCCUCUACCUCUGCAUAAGCACAGUUCCCGCUCAGCCCAGUCAAAACUGUUCGCUGCUCUGGCACCCCAAUGGUGGAACAAGCUCCCUCACGACGCCAGGACAGCGGAGUCAAUCACCACCUUCAGUAGACACCUGAAACCCCACCUCUUUAAGGAAUACCUGGGAUAGGAUAAAGUAAUCCUUCUAACCCCCCCCCAAAAAAAAAAAUAUAUAUAGAUGUUAUAUUGUAAAGUGGUUGUUCCACUGGAUAUCAGAAGGUGAAUGCACCAAUUUGUAAGUCGCUCUGGAUAAGAGCGUCUGCUAAAUGACGUAAAUGUAAACGAUAGGUUGACAGAGUUGAAACAGCAGAACCAGGACAUGGUAGCACAUCCAUUGAAACUGGUUAAAAAAAAAACAGUGGAAAAACAAUUUCACUCUGAUUCCUUUUAUGGAUGGGUGUAUCUUUGAAUUUGCUGUUGAAUGGCCUGCUCCUUCUCCAUUUUUGGAACACCAUCCCGCUCCCCCAAAGUGAUCGAUAGUAUAUCUCGGCUCGCACUGUGAUGAUUGUGAUUGAGCUCUCAGGUUCAUACAGCGAGUUCUGGUCUUCACUGAUCUCAUUCUCCAUCAGCUCCAUCUGGGGCGUAUCGGGGCAGGACUCGGUUGUAUACUGAUGGUCGUGAGCGCAAUCUAGCUGGGCCCUGGUCCCGGUGGACCUCUUCUCCACCGCAGCACAGGAACACUCUGGCACCCAGGGGUCAGUUUGGCAUGCUGUACUAACUGUUCUUUCCUGUCGGUAGAAAACAAUUAAGGCAUCUAUUAGGCUAUAGUUAUAUUCAAGAAUCACAGCAUAUACCUGAAAUAAACAGCCUUAGAAAUAACAUGGAUUUGUAUGCACAAAUGAAAACA